UACAGAGGUCCCAAGCGUUGUUCGGAUUCACUGGGCGUAAAGGGCGCGUAGGCGGUCAGCACAAGUCAGUUGUGAAAUCUCCGGGCUUAACCCGGAAAGGUCAACUGAUACUGUGCGACUAGAGUGCGGAAGGGGCAACUGGAAUUCUCGGUGUAGCGGUGAAAUGCGUAGAUAUCGAGAGGAACACCUGCGGCGAAGGCGGGUUGCUGGGCCGACACUGACGCUGAUGCGCGAAAGCCAGGGGAGCGAACGGG
rnacentral:rRNA from 1 species